rnacentral:lncRNA from 1 species
GUACCUUAGUCGCAUAAUGAAGCAACCAAUCAUAAUUUAUAUGUGAUAAGUAAUUAUUUCAAGAUGGCGUGUAUAUCAACUGCAAAUAAUAGCUCUGCAUCGUGAUGCAAAGCAAUUAUAUUGUUAAUAAUUAAUUUAUUUAAAGUAAGUUGUUAUGUAAACUUUCAACAAAAGCAGCAUACUCUCGGUGUAACAAAUAUAAAUAUUGCAACAAUAAUCAAACCUUAGUAUAUAUUUAUUCUCAAACCAAAUCAAUACGGCACAUAAAGUAUCACAUAUUAAAAAACAGGUUUACCGCAAUCUAACAAUAACGCCAAUAUGAAAAGCGCAUUCCAGCUAUUCAUACAAAUAUGGCAGUUGAUGUUUUUUUAUCUCUCAAAUUUAAUGUUUUUUUUUUUUUUUUUUUUUAUCUCAGUUAAAUUCUGCUUCAUAUCUUUACCUCCGAAUGUUUAUCUUGGGUAACUCUUAAUGACAUUUCGCACUGUGUACCUCAAUGUUUAUCAUGGGUAACUCUUAAUGACAUUCGUACUGUGUACCUCAAUGAUGACAGUAUCAAUUUCAUUAUCAUGUAUCGUCUUCAACUACAUAUUUAUUUCACGUAAAUCAUACUUACACAGCUACU